GGUCCUCAUUCGAUUACUGGAAAUGGGGUUGGAUUCAAACCCAAUAUAUUGGACAUGGACAUAAUGGAAAGAGUUCUUGAGCUACUUCAUGUAUAUGAUUUCGCUGACAAAGUCUUCAACACCAGUGGUUGGAGAAUACAAUUUGUACACCAAAACGACGUUGGAUUUUCUGAAAUAGAAGUGAAGCCACGUGAACCAUGACUGCUGGGAGGUAGAUCUUUGUCAUUAUGAGUUUCUUGGAAAAUUUUGUUAAGGAGACUGAUGCACCAGCUGUUGAAGAGACUGAUGCACCACCUAAAUCUGCCUUCACCAAACAUGAUCAACAGUAUGAGAUAUCAGUGUUUUUUGGGUUCCACUUGUUGAUCAUGCCAACGGCUAUGGGUUAUUGAA